UACAGUGAAGGUCCAAAAUCAAUCGGAGAUAAUUUAAAGCCGCAUUGUCAGCAGUUCCGCAUGCGCAGUCGAGGCGACCGUUGAGUAAUUAGCAUAACAAUCGAAGUGUGUGCGUUGGACCAGAACAAUGAAUAAACCCAUCAAAACACUCAAUGCGUGAGGUCUUGAGAGGUUACGUCGCCGGCUGUUUUCCCGCGUUAUUUCGUAGGUUUUUAAAAUAAGACGGAAUUAUUGAACUAAAAAGAGGUUGGCUUAGAAAAUGGAGGAAAGCAUAGAUGAGGAGAUCGAAAGAAGGACUCCUGAUAGACAAAGCGUACAGGCACGUACAUCUUGUAAUUGCAAGAGCACUUGCUCUCGCAAGCGUGUUGAGGACGGAGCGAGAGCUCGAGGUUGCCCAUGUAAAGGCGCAAAUAAACACUGCAACUCCUCUUGUAAGUGCGGUACACGAUCAAAGCCGUGCCAAAAUAAGGAAUCGACAACAAGAGAAGUUCAUUCCACUUAUGGUCCUGGUCCUAGGACGACACGAAAAUCAGAGGAAGAAGAAAUGAAGGAGGCAAAUCGGCAAGUAAAGGUGCUGUUCAGGGCCGUAGCAGGGGGUGGGGCACUGGGGCACAUGCCCCCCAAUAUUUUCAAAAAUUAUAUGGAAAUGACCAGUAGGGGCAAGGCUUUGCCCCAAAAUAUUAUCUUAAUGUUUCUGUAUUGUGCCCUUCCCCUACCAAUAUUUUAAGGCCUGUUACGGCACUGCUGUUUAAUGCUGUUUUAGUGUAAUAACCCUAACAAACCAUCUCACAUCAUCCAUAAGCUUUAGUCUCCUCCUGAACUACACUCCAUUUAUCCAUGUUUUACCAUUUCUGUUGACAAGUUAUUAACUAGCAUAUCAAAUAAAUCAAUAAAAAGGAAUUUAUAGACACACUGGAUUUUGAAACAAUCAAAAGCCGAUGUGUAAAAAGCCUGCAAAGAGGAGUUGGAAGCAUGGACUUCAUUGACUCCCUUCUGGUCAUGGAGGAUGAUGACAAUGACAGAGAAGAGGAAAAUCUUGGCCUUGCAAUGGAACCAAUGGAUGUCGCAGGGCCAAGCACUCACCCACAGGGCCCCACUGCUGUUGGCAUUACACCAGCACCAAGACCACCAGGGGAACCACUACCAGACUGAUGCAAAUGUGGUAAUUGCCGUGAAAUGCCACAGCAAAUUGAAAAUGUUUGCUGUGGUAAAAGAAAUUGUGAGUCCACGAAAGCAAA